GGGUUGUGAGGUUAAGCGACUAAGCGUACACGGUGGAUGCCCUGGCAGUCAGAGGCGAUGAAGGGCGUGCUAAUCUGCGAUAAGCGCCGGUAAGGUGAUAUGAACCGUUAUAACCGGCGAUACCCGAAUGGGGAAACCCAGUGUGAUUCGUCACACUAUCAUUAACUGAAUCCAUAGGUUAAUGAGGCGAACCGGGGGAACUGAAACAUCUAAGUACCCCGAGGAAAAGAAAUCAACCGAGAUUCCCCCAGUAGCGGCGAGCGAACGGGGAGGAGCCCAGAGCCUGAAUCAGCAUGUGUGUUAGUGGAAGCGUCUGGAAAGGCGCGCGAUACAGGGUGACAGCCCCGUACACAAAAGCGCAUGUGCUGUGAGCUCGAUGAGUAGGGCGGGACACGUGGUAUCCUGUCUGAAUAUGGGGGGACCAUCCUCCAAGGCUAAAUACUCCUGACUGACCGAUAGUGAACCAGUACCGUGAGGGAAAGGCGAAAAGAACCCCGGCGAGGGGAGUGAAAAAGAACCUGAAACCGUGUACGUACAAGCAGUGGGAGCACAGGUUUACCUGUGUGACUGCGUACCUUUUGUAUAAUGGGUCAGCGACUUAUAUUCUGUAGCAAGGUUAACCGAAUAGGGGAGCCGGAGGGAAACCGAGUCUUAAUUGGGCGUUAAGUUGCAGGGUAUAGACCCGAAACCCGGUGAUCUAGCCAUGGGCAGGUUGAAGGUUGGGUAACACUAACUGGAGGACCGAACCGACUAAUGUUGAAAAAUUAGCGGAUGACCUGUGGCUGGGGGUGAAAGGCCAAUCAAACCGGGAGAUAGCUGGUUCUCCCCGAAAGCUAUUUAGGUAGCGCCUCGUGAAUUCAUCUCCGGGGGUAGAGCACUGUUUCGGCUAGGGGGCCAUCCCGGCUUACCAACCCGAUGCAAACUGCGAAUACCGGAGAAUGUUAUCACGGGAGACACACGGCGGGUGCUAACGUCCGUCGUGAAGAGGGAAACAACCCAGACCGCCAGCUAAGGUCCCAAAGUCAUGGUUAAGUGGGAAACGAUGUGGGAAGGCCCAGACAGCCAGGAUGUUGGCUUAGAAGCAGCCAUCAUUUAAAGAAAGCGUAAUAGCUCACUGGUCGAGUCGGCCUGCGCGGAAGAUGUAACGGGGCUAAACCAUGCACCGAAGCUGCGGCAGCGACACUGUGUGUUGUUGGGUAGGGGAGCGUUCUGUAAGCCUGUGAAGGUGUGUCGUGAGGCAUGCUGGAGGUAUCAGAAGUGCGAAUGCUGACAUAAGUAACGAUAAAGCGGGUGAAAAGCCCGCUCGCCGGAAGACCAAGGGUUCCUGUCCAACGUUAAUCGGGGCAGGGUGAGUCGACCCCUAAGGCGAGGCCGAAAGGCGUAGUCGAUGGGAAACGGGUUAAUAUUCCCGUACUUGGUGUUACUGCGAAGGGGGGACGGAGAAGGCUAUGUUGGCCGGGCGACGGUUGUCCCGGUUUAAGCGUGUAGGUGUGUGUUCCAGGUAAAUCCGGUUCACUUUAACACUGAGGCGUGACGACGAGGCACUACGGUGCUGAAGCAACAAAUGCCCUGCUUCCAGGAAAAGCCUCUAAGCAUCAGGUAACAUCAAAUCGUACCCCAAACCGACACAGGUGGUCAGGUAGAGAAUACCAAGGCGCUUGAGAGAACUCGGGUGAAGGAACUAGGCAAAAUGGUGCCGUAACUUCGGGAGAAGGCACGCUGACACGUAGGUGAAGUGAUUUACUCAUGGAGCUGAAGUCAGUCGAAGAUACCAGCUGGCUGCAACUGUUUAUUAAAAACACAGCACUGUGCAAACACGAAAGUGGACGUAUACGGUGUGACGCCUGCCCGGUGCCGGAAGGUUAAUUGAUGGGGUCAGCGCAAGCGAAGCUCCUGAUCGAAGCCCCGGUAAACGGCGGCCGUAACUAUAACGGUCCUAAGGUAGCGAAAUUCCUUGUCGGGUAAGUUCCGACCUGCACGAAUGGCGUAAUGAUGGCCAGGCUGUCUCCACCCGAGACUCAGUGAAAUUGAACUCGCUGUGAAGAUGCAGUGUACCCGCGGCAAGACGGAAAGACCCCGUGAACCUUUACUAUAGCUUGACACUGAACAUUGAGCCUUGAUGUGUAGGAUAGGUGGGAGGCUUUGAAGUGUGGACGCCAGUCUGCAUGGAGCCGACCUUGAAAUACCACCCUUUAAUGUUUGAUGUUCUAACGUGGACCCGUUACCCGGGUUGCGGACAGUGUCUGGUGGGUAGUUUGACUGGGGCGGUCUCCUCCUAAAGAGUAACGGAGGAGCACGAAGGUUGGCUAAUCCUGGUCGGACAUCAGGAGGUUAGUGCAAUGGCAUAAGCCAGCUUGACUGCGAGCGUGACGGCGCGAGCAGGUGCGAAAGCAGGUCAUAGUGAUCCGGUGGUUCUGAAUGGAAGGGCCAUCGCUCAACGGAUAAAAGGUACUCCGGGGAUAACAGGCUGAUACCGCCCAAGAGUUCAUAUCGACGGCGGUGUUUGGCACCUCGAUGUCGGCUCAUCACAUCCUGGGGCUGAAGUAGGUCCCAAGGGUAUGGCUGUUCGCCAUUUAAAGUGGUACGCGAGCUGGGUUUAGAACGUCGUGAGACAGUUCGGUCCCUAUCUGCCGUGGGCGCUGGAGAACUGAGGGGGGCUGCUCCUAGUACGAGAGGACCGGAGUGGACGCAUCACUGGUGUUCGGGUUGUCAUGCCAAUGGCACUGCCCGGUAGCUAAAUGCGGAAGAGAUAAGUGCUGAAAGCAUCUAAGCACGAAACUUGCCCCGA
rnacentral:rRNA from 2 species